CCGCACGUUCCUUUAAAUUGCUACACACUAGUAGAAAAAAGUAAAAAGGCAUCGCUCAAUUGCCACCAGUUUUUAAGAACCGGUGGCAAAAAACAGGGGAAAAAUGGGCGGGGACAUUUUUGCCACCGGUUCAAACCGAACCGGUGGCAAAAAUAUUAUUCCCACCGGUUCAAAACCGGUGGCUUACUAAUAAAAAAAAAAAAAAAUCUGGCCCUUAAAACACCCCAAACCCUACAAUUUCACCCACCAUCAGCCGUUUCACACCCACCUCCCCUCAUUCUCUCUCUCUCCUCGAUCAGUUUUCACACCCACCUCCCCUCAUUCUCUUUCUCUCUCCUCGUUCAGCUCAGAUCCCCUCUCCCCUCUUCUCCUUCAUCCUCUCCUCCUUAUCUUUCUAUCUCCUCUCUCCCCUCUCCUCCUUCUCUUUCUCAUCUUCUUUGAUCUACACCACCACCUCGAAGAACACCACCGCAACAAUAACACCACGAAUACAUGCAUGAGCAACAACGACUUAAUCGAGGUAUAUUGAUUUAGAUCUUAAAUCGAAGAAUCAUGAUGCAGGAAUAUUGUUUUUGAUGUUGUAUGAGGUUUUUUUGAUUUUGAAUCUGUAACAUUUUUUUAUUUAUAUUGUAAUUUUUUUUUAUUUAUAUGUUGUAAUUGAUCAAUUUUAUUGAUUUAUAUUGUAAAUAAAAUUUCGAUUAUAUAGAUUGAUAUUUUUUGAUUUAUAUUUUGAUGUUUGUAAUUUUUUUUACUGAAUUGUUUUGUUAUAUAUCUUUUUGAAAAAGACAAAAAAAAAAAAGGUAUACAUGUUAUUGCCACCGGUUAACCGGUGGCAAUACCUCUUUUUGCCACCGGUUUUGAACCGAUGGCCUUGCUUCGGAGUAUUUCCACCCCCCAAAUGACCACCGGUUCAAAACCGGUGGCAUUGGGGGGUUUUGAACCGGUGGCCAAUUCAUAUUUUCGCCUAGUGACAUCAUGAAUAAACUGUUAGUAACUUCAAUAAAAAAUGUUGCCAAAAAAAAAAAAAA